ACGUACACUCCUACGGGAGGCAGCAGUGGGGAAUAUUGGACAAUGGGCGCAAGCCUGAUCCAGCCAUGCCGCGUGAGUGAUGAAGGCCCUAGGGUUGUAAAGCUCUUUCACCGGUGAAGAUAAUGACGGUAACCGGAGAAGAAGCCCCGGCUAACUUCGUGCCAGCAGCCGCGGUAAUACGAAGGGGGCUAGCGUUGUUCGGAUUUACUGGGCGUAAAGCGCACGUAGGCGGACUAUUAAGUCAGGGGUGAAAUCCCGGGGCUCAACCCCGGAACUGCCUUUGAUACUGGUAGUCUUGAGUUCGAGAGAGGUGAGUGGAAUUCCGAGUGUAGAGGGGAAAUUCGUAGAUAUUCGGAGGAACACCAGUGGCGAAGGCGGCUCACUGGCUCGAUACUGACUCUGAGGUGCGAAAGCGUGGGGAGCAAACAGGAUUAGAUACCCGUGUAGUCCCAUG
rnacentral:rRNA from 1 species